rnacentral:sRNA from 1 species
GAUAAAGGUCAAGUACUAAAUAUUCAGAUGAGAAGAACAUUGCAUAAAGCAUUUAAGGUAUGAUAAUACAGACUUUUUCUAGUUUUAAAAUAUACGGGACAUAACUUAAAAAAAUAUUUUCCUUCCUUUUUACAGGGAUCAAUUUUCGUUGUGUUUGAUAGCAUUGAAUCUGCUAAGAAGUUUGUAGAGACCCCUGGCCAGAAGUACAAAGAAACAGACUUGCUAAUACUUUUCAAGGACGAUUACUUUGCCAAAAAAAAUGAAGAAAGAAAACAAAAUAAAGUGGAAGCUAAAUUAAGAGCUAAACAGUAAGUAUGUUGAACUAAUCGUGACAUAAUUUGAAUUCCUUAAAGCUCUGACAGAAAUAUAGUUGGUGAGCUCUGAAAUAGUGGCAGUAGACCUUUCUCUUUGCUAGUGAAAC